rnacentral:rRNA from 1 species
AGUGAACGCUGGCGGUAGGCCUAACACAUGCAAGUCGAACGGCAGCACAGUAAGAGCUUGCUCUUACGGGUGGCGGGUGGCGGACGGGUGAGGAAUACAUCGGAAUCUACUUUUUCGUGGGGGAUAACGUAGGGAAACUUACGCUAAUACCGCAUACGACCUACGGGUGAAAGCAGUGGAUCUUCGGACCUUGCGCGAUUGAAUGAGCCGAUGUCGGAUUAGCUAGUUGGCGGGGUAAAGGCCCACCAAGGCGACGAUCCGUAGCUGGUCUGAGAGGAUGAUCAGCCACACUGGAACUGAGACACGGUCCAGACUCCUACGGGAGGCAGCAGUGGGGAAUAUUGGACAAUGGGCGCAAGCCUGAUCCAGCCAUACCGCGUGGGUGAAGAAGGCCUUCGGGUUGUAAAGCCCUUUUGUUGGGAAAGAAAAGCAGCAGGUUAAUACCCCGCUGUUCUGACGGUACCCAAAGAAUAAGCACCGGCUAACUUCGUG